UUUAGUAUUGAGUAUUGACCG
rnacentral:misc_RNA from 1 species